rnacentral:misc_RNA from 1 species
GAUGAAGAACGUAGCAAAAUGCGAUAAGUAAUGUGAAUUGCAGAAUUCAGUGAAUCAUCGAAUCUUUGAACGCACAUUGCGCCCGCCAGUAUUCUGGCGGGCAUGCCUGUUCGAGCGUCAUUUCAACCCUCAAGCACAGCUUGGUGUUGGGACUCGCGUUAAUUCGCGUUCCCCAAAUUGAUUGGCGGUCACGUCGAGCUUCCAUAGCGUAGUAGUAAAACCCUCGUUACUGGUAAUCGUCGCGGCCCCGCCGUUAAACCCCAACUUCUGAAUGUUGACCUCGGAUCAGGUAGGAAUACCCGCUGAACUUAAGCAUAUCAAUAAGCGGAGGA